rnacentral:rRNA from 2 species
GACUCUCGGCAACGGAUAUCUCGGCUCACGCAUCGAUGAAGAACGUAGCAAAAUGCGAUACUUGGUGUGAAUUGCAGAAUCCCGUGAACCAUCGAGUUUUUGAACGCAAGUUGCGCCCGAAGCCAUCUGGUUCAGGGCACGCCUGCCUGGGCGUCACGCAUCGC